rnacentral:lncRNA from 1 species
AUCCAUCCACUGAGGGCUAGAGACACUUUCCUGAAAGACCUAACAAGAUGUUAAAUGUGGAAUCACCGUCCUGAAAUGCUGUGCAUGAUUUUUCACACAAAUUCAGUUGGUAGCACAUCGGUAAACGUCGGCAGAAAUGUGCUUUAAGAUCCGGGAAUACGAGCAAAUUUUUUUCACUUUCUGGGAAGGGUAUAGCAUCUCCUGUGUGCCAUACGCAGUGUUGCUGGCUGCUGACCCUCUCCCGCUGCUGGCUUGGUGGAAGGAUUGCCUGGGGGAAAUGAGAAGAGCGCUGGAUGCGGUAGAAUUAGAUCAUGAGUUCAACACACAGCGGUUCCAGGACGCUCCACAUGGGCCAGCCCGGAUCCUCACGUCAUCUUUGGCAAACCACCCUCCCUUUCUUCAGUCCAGCUCCUUGCAGAUGCCUGGCUCGCAGAUGUAAGAACAGAGGCCGCAGAGGAGCCGGUCAUUUGCAUCCGCAGAUCAUUCACGGGAGCCUCCCCCUGGCAGCAGGUUUUCAUUUAAAAAGCUGAAUGAAGGCUUUUGUGUCCAAGACUUAAAGCCACCAGGCAAAAAAGACCCAGCCUCCUCCGGGGGCCAAGAGAUGAGGGAGAAGACCAAGUUCUAGGAUGAGAAGGGGCUUUUGGAGGAAGGAGUAAAGUUCUGAGAAACCAGCUAACUUAUUCAAGAGACAAGAGCCCCCCAUGGAGGACAGAGAGGGGCCACAGACAGGGCUCCUCAGGAAGCUGAGCCAGAGAGGACGGAGAAGGUAGUAUGGUUGGGUAGAAGUGCUCAUGUUUUUUCCCCACAAGAAUCAAGGUGCCUUCUCUUUUAAUUUUACAAGCCAAGGGAACUGUGGCUGGCUUUGGGAAGUUGCCUCUCAUCAUUCAUGAACUUCCUGAACAUCAGGAGAAUGUCAUGCUGUGCAGUGUGUCACUCAAAAAGAGUGGGGGAUGCUCUUCAACAGAUGAAUGGACAAUGAAAAUGUG